GUACAGACAAAUGGUUGUUUAUAAGUUCAUCGGUAAAAUUCACGAAAUUGAUAUAAAAAUCAAGGUAAUCCUAUGGUAUUCACUAUGUUUAGUGUGAUGGUCCCGAACAAUAAUACACUAAAGUAACUGAUCCCCGCAAGGGCAGACAAAUGGUUGUUUAUGAAUUCUUCGGUAAAAUUCACGAAAUUGGUAUAAAAAUCAAAAUAAUCCUGUGGUAUCCACUAUGUUUAGUGUGAUGGUCCCGAAAAAUAAUGCAGUAGAGUAACUGAUCCCCGCAAGUACAGACAAAUGGUUGUUUAUAAGUUCAUCGGUAAAAUUCACGAAAUUGAU